rnacentral:rRNA from 1 species
GACGAACGCUGGCGGCGUGCUUAACACAUGCAAGUCGAACGGAAAGGCCCUGCUUGCAGGGUACUCGAGUGGCGAACGGGCGAGUAACACGUGGGUGAUCUGCCCUGCACUUCGGGAUAAGCCUGGGAAACUGGGUCUAAUACCGGAUAGGAGCCAUUUUUAGUGUGAUGGUUGGUAAGUUUUUUCGGUGUAGGAUGAGCUCGCGGCCUAUCAGCUUGUUGGUGGGGUAAUGGCCUACCAAGGCGGCGACGGGUAGCCGGCCUGAGAGGGUGGACGGCCACAUUGGGACUGAGAAACGGCCCAGACACCGACGGGAGGCAGAAGUGGGGAAUAUUGCACAAUGGGCGAAAGCCUGAUGCAGAGACGCCGCGUGGGGGAUGACGGCCUUCGGGUUGUAGAAUCCUUUCGCUAGGGACGAAGCUUUUUGUGACGGUACCUAGAUAAGAAGCACCGGCUAACUACGUG